rnacentral:tRNA from 1 species
GCUGGCGUAGCUCAACUGGUAGAGCAUCCGCUUUGUAAGCGGCAGGUUGGAGGUUCAAGUCCUCUCGCCAGCU